UGUACACCUGCAAAGAGGGGCUCUGGAAAGAACAAUAAAUCAAGAUCUCUCCAAAGGGGCUGAUCCUCUAACCUCCCCCUUUGCCUGUAGGUUAGCCUGUGUGUGUCACCUGUCCUCAGACCUAGGUUCUAUUCUCAUUCUGGGGCACUGAAAACCAUUCUCCCCAAAUUUCAAAGUUUCCCAAAGUCCACUGGAGUCCUUGGGGGAACUUGAGAGAAUCCCUGGGGGCUGGAGAGCUCUUUGCCAGCUCUGGAAGGAGGAGCAUCUUGUCAUCUCAUCCCCUACUGCCUCAGAAGCACCCUGGCCAUAGGCAGAAGUCAAAGUCACAGCCCUUACUAUGCAGUUACCAGAAAGAGGAACAGAUAGAGGUGGUGGAACCCGGAACAGCAGGUCCUCACCCUCCCAGAAGGAGCCAAGAGAAUGACAGCCUCUUUCUGCAGGCUUCUGGGUCAAGGAACUGGACCUGGAAGGCGGUAAUCAGAGACAAUGCAAACAAUGACAAAAGAAACGCCAAGGAUCUAUGAUGUGUUGGGUUUGCUCUGGGUGUGUGUUUGUUAAAUGGAAGGAUGAGUGGGUGGGUAGAUGAAGGCCUGAAUGAAUUUACAUUAGGAGAAAAAAAAAACCUGCUUUCAGUUCAAUGAUGUACUGUUACAUAGUACAAAGGAAAGAAAAAAGAAUGAUAGUUACCCUGUAUUUUAGUUGAUGUAGUCAAAUAAUGUGAAUAAUUGAGGCCCUAAGUAGAAUUUUUAGGAUAUGAAUUAGCUACAUAAAUCUUAUUCACAGGCUAACCUCCUGCUGCAUAAUCACUGUCAGUUGUGCCCUCUGGUUUGUGGUGUAUAGAUAAACACCAUGUUUAGUGUACUGAAUUGGCAAACCUCUAAACUUGGGUGUUGGUCUCCUUUUGACUUCAGUGUCAGAAAACGGACAGCUCUUCUUUAAUCCAGAUGUUCUAGUAUUGUUCAGUUUGGAGUUCUUCUGGAUAUCUACCCUUGUGGACCUUACCUUCUCCCAGGAGCCAGCUUUCUCCUCUGCACAAAGAAGCUCACUUGUACCUGAGAUCAGAAACAAAGAGCAUCUACCCUAGAGCUCAUCAGAGCUAUCCUGCUUACUCUGCUCUUGCUCUGUGUCCCCUCAAUGGAGUGCCUGAGAGGUGGCUGAGACCAUGUUCAGCAAAGAUGUUUCUAGGCUUUACUGAACAUGGCUGGUGAUAACUGUCUGAUCCUUCAAUCCUUUUAUAUGCUGAACUACUUGCUCCAGCUGAUCCAUUUCCCAGACUACCUUGGUCUGUCUCUGUCUCCACCUUCCCUCCCUUUCAUAUGAGUCAGCAAUGUUAAAGUACAAACAACUUUAUAUGAAUAAAAGGACAAGAUCAUGAACCAUAUGGGUGAACAAACCAAACUCAGUUUCUUCUACUCUACUCUCACAAUGCAGAUCACUUUUGUGAUCCCAAAAUGUGUAGGGAUUUUUUUCCCACCAGCAUGUAAACAAUCUGUCGUGCAGUGGACACCUGAUUCAGUCUGAUCCCAUCUACUGGGAGAUGAUGUCUGAUUUCACAGGAUGAGGUUUCAGUACCACAAGACUACCUCCACUUCAGACACAAGUCUGUCUCUUUUGUGAUACUGGGGACUGAACCCAGGACCUCACACAUGUUAGGGUGUUGUUAAGUUGCUGCGGCUGGCCUGGAACUUGUGAUCCUUCUGCCUAAGCCACCCAUGUAGCUGGGAUUACAGCCAUGCACCACUGGGCCUGGCCAUAAAGGCUAAUUUAAAGGAUACAACAAGCAGUCAGAUGAAGAGAUACACAGGGCAAGGUCUGGAAGGGUCCUGAGGGCAGAAGCUUCUGUCCCCAUGGAGUGGAGUGCACCACUCUCCUGGCUCAUCAGUGAGUUCUUGCUCAUCUUCCUGAAAGUUCCCAAGUGUUCUGUUUUUCAGAAGUUCUGUGAACCCUGUCCUUUGGGUUUUGUGGAAAGCUCAAGGCAUAGGCAUAACUGAAGCAUGCAAAGCCAUAUAAAAAUAAUGUCAGACAAAAACAGUUUGAUCUAAUGUCUUAGAAAGAACACGCCAGAAAGUCUGUUUGUUCAGAUUCUUCUUGGCCUUUCUGUGCAGCAUCCCUUCCUGGUAUCUGGAGCAGGAGUCCUUCUGGAUAUUUUAUAUAUAUUCAGAAGUGAUAUGUGUGUGUGUGUGUGUGUAUAUAUAUAUAUAUAUAUAUAUAUAUAUAUAUACACACACACACACACACAUAUACAAUAUCAUGUCAUAUCAGAACUGGUUAUUUGAAAAUCUAGGUUCUGGUUUUGAUGUCUCUUUACCUUGAGUUAGUAACAAAUCUGUCUGAAAACUUCUAGACAUAAUUUUUUGGGAGGGGGUUUGACUAUCAUUGUGAAGACAUUCUCUGCUUAGAAUAUAAUACUAAAUAUUUCCAUUAGAUCAAGCUACUGUGUUAAAAAAAAAACAAGGAUCAAGGCUAUUUGAGUAACUGCUUAAUAUUUUUAUUUCUGAAUGUUGUGUUAAAGUGCCCCACUAUAAUCCCUAGUCAAUUUCUCCUUAUACAUUAACAGGCUUUGCUUGAUAUGUUUUGAAUCUAUGUUGUUAAAUGAAAAAGGGCUCUUGACUAGUUUAUCUUCUGGUUAUAGCCUGCCUGCCUUUUUUCCUUCCUUCCUUCCUUUGUAGAACUGGGCGCUAGGAAAUUAAAUUCUCUUUCUGUGACAGCCUUGUCUUUGAGUCCUAGGUCAAUAGAAAAUUACAGCAAGAUAAAGCAGCACCUGCAAAAAUGAAAGUAGGACACCGAGACCCCAGAAAGUAGAGAGCUCAAAAACCACAUCCUGGCUGAGCUGUGGCAAGCGUUCUGCUGAAAGCAUCCCUAGAGUCUGCAGAACAUCCUGCUCCUCACAGCACCCACUGACCCCUCCCGAUCCUUAUAAACCCAUAAAACCCCUUUUCCCUGAGAACUCAGGACUCACACAUCUCUUGGAGUCUGGCCUCUCUCCUCUCUUGGAGAGUGAAUAAAAUAUUUUACUGCUAAUUGCUCUCUGCCUGCAAAUCUCUGAACCGUGCAAGCACCAUCUCUACUCCAGGCACCAUAACACUGGGGAUUGUAGGGCUUCACAUAUUAGGCAAGGACUAAGCCACAUCCCCAGCCCUUUUUAUUUUAUUUUGAACACAGUCUCACUAAGUUGCCUAGGCCUAGAACUUUCAGUCCCUAGCCUCCAGAGUAGCUGGGAUUACAGAUGUGCACCACCACCCCAGCUUUGUAAUGUUUCUUUUAUUACUAAGAAAUAUUUCCUCUUAGUUUCUUUUCACCUUGACCUCAACUUUGGAAGAUAUUUAUAUUGCUACGCCUGUUUUCUGUGUUAGUAUUUUCCAUUUCCCCUUCUGCUGAAUCGUGGCUGCCUUGGUGACAUGCGGUAGAGCUGAUACUUGUCACAGCUGAGGCUGGUCCUCAGAGGUCUUACAACUCAGAGCUCAUCACCUGGUGUGCUGCUGCCCCCAUGUGCAGAAGCCAGUGCUAGCCUCUGGGAGGACUUGGAGAGAAGGCGGCUGAGAGCAAGUGCCAACUGUGUAAGGCCAUCUUAGAUAACUGCAGCCAUGAGCGAACUCAGCGGAACCUGGCGGGCCUGCCCAGCGGAAUGCAGUGCGGCUUCACUGAAUGUGUUUCCUGAUUGCCAUCAAAGGAAGCAGGACCUACUGAGGCUUGGACGCAAGGCCUGACCAGUGGAGUUGCUCAGCCUGCAGGGGUGUCCUGCUCUAGGAGAGGCCCAGGAAACUCCUCAUUCACCUGCAGCUUCUGGCUCCCUGGAUUCUGUUCUUUUGCCUUUAGCUUAGUUUAUUUCUGUUUUAUUUUAAUCUUAUAACCUUUUAAAUAUUUUGAAAACCAUCUUAUUUAAUUGAUUAUUAUUUUCUUGUCUGAAUGUUUCUUUCUUCUUAAACUUAAAAAAUUUUUUUUUCUGCCUUGACUAUUUCAUUCUUUUAAAAUAUUUUGGUAAUGAAUACAUUCUUUCCCUCUAAAA